UGCCCAAGGAUGGGUCUGCGGCCUAUCAGGUAGUAGUGGGUGUAACGUACCUACUAGCCUACGACGGGUACGGGUUGUGAGAGCAAGAGCCCGGAGAUGGAUUCUGAGACAUGAAUCCAGGCCCUACGGGGUGCAGCAGGCGCGAAAACUUUACAAUGCGGGCAACCGCGAUAAGGGGACCUCGAGUGCUGGGUUACAAACCUGGCUGUUGGGCUGCCUAAAAAGCAGUCUAUAGCAAGGGCCGGGCAAGACCGGUGCCAGCCGCCGCGGUAACACCGGCGGCUCGAGUGGUAACCGCUAUUAUUGGGUCUAAAGGGUCUGUAGCCGGCCGACUAAGUCUCUUGGGAAAUCUGGCAUCUCAAGUGUCAGGCUGCCAGGGGAUACUGGUCGGCUUGGGACCGGGAGAGGUGAGAGGUACCUCGGGGGUAGGGGUGAAAUCUUGUAAUCCUCGAGGGACCACCAGUGGCGAAGGCGUCUCACCAGAGCGGAUCCGACGGCAAGGGACGAAAGCUAGGGGCACGAACCGGAUUAGAUACCCGGGUAGUCCUAGCCGUAAACGAUACUCGCUAGGUGUCGGCCACGGUGCGACCGUUGUCGGUGCCGUAGGGAAGCCGUGAAGCGAGCCACCUGGGAAGUACGGCCGCAAGGCUGAAACUUAA
rnacentral:rRNA from 1 species